AUUGACAUUCUAGAACAUCAAGCUAUGAAGAAACAAGAGGAACAAGAAGGUUUACUUCUCUCUAAAGUCCAGCCAUUUCAUGAGUACUCCAGCAUACCUUCCACCUCAGGUUUACUUCUCUCUUGUAUUGUUUAGGAUCGUUGAAAUUGUAUUUCAUCCUUUGUAAUCCCUCAAUUGUUUAAUAAAAAAAGGUUUUUGUUCAGC
rnacentral:lncRNA from 1 species